CACAUACUUUUUCUGAAUAAAUUUUACAUAUUAGUCAAAAAAAGACCAAAUUUUCUUAAUUCGUGUAUAAAAUUCAAAAUAAUUUAUUAUUAAUGGGAGCGAGGAAUGCAAGAGCGAGUCAGUCUUCACUUCACUCGGAGAUAAAUGCUCUUAUUUGGGGAAUGGAGUGUAUAAGAAAUCUAAGACAAUUCACUGUUACAUUUGAACAGAUUGUUUUCAGUUGGUGAAGAUGGUUUAGGAACCAGAAGAAUGGGUAGACUUUGCAAGUUACUCAGAAGACAUACAUAUCUUGAAGAGAAGUUUCAACAGCUCAGAGCUCAUUCAUAUACCACAUGCGAAUAAUUCAAGGGCGGACGUCUUGCACGCAGUGAAAGGAAGCAAUCGUUGUUUGUUGUCUAUAUGAAUAUGGAGCUAUCAGUUUAGUUUGCAGAGUGUACAUGAUUCUGUUUACGUUGCUGACAAAAAAAAAUAUUAUUGUUGCAAUUGUUUAAUCCAAAAUGAAAGUAGCUAUAUUUUUAGGUGAAAAGUUUUCAUUAACCGUGUCAAACAACAAUAUCCUAGUAGAUGACCAAUUUAUUUUAUGAUAUUAAUUAAUAGGUAGUUACAAUUAGAUACACAAUCCCCUAUGAUUUAAAAAAACGUUUAUCCAGCUCUCUCUCUCUCUCUAUCUAUCUCUCUUUCACAUAGAAGAUGAGAUGAGAAAAUUUGAUGUAAAAUAGUUAUCUUCGAUCAUUUAGAUCGACUUUUUGUUUCCGGUUGCGUUUUAACUUUUUUGCAUGGUGAUUUUGUAGUGUCUCAGUUUAAAACCAGCUGUUCUUCAAGGUUUUCUUCUUUUAUAUGGUUUUAGACUGAAUUUAUAAAGGCUUUGAUUAUAUCCAGGGUUCUUGCUUAUGGUUUUCUUUCGUGAGACUAUGAAAUCCUGACUAGCUUAAGUCGAGUUGCCUCCAUCAGAGGAGACGCUUUCAACUAUUUUUAAGGAAAUUAGUCUUUAUCUCCUCUGUUUCGUCUGUGAAACGGCAUAUAGGUAAGGCUUUCUUUUGGAAAAGAGAAGGAUGAGGAAAUAUUAGAUCGAUUGGUUAACAAAGGAGUAAGAAGAGUUGGCGUUUUGUUUAGCGGUCUGACAAAGAUUCUUCGAUGAAUCGAUUCGAUUAGUCUCAAGAUUGAUAAUCUGAAGAUGUUGGGUGGUUCGAUUGAGGCGGCGGCAGAGGCGAAAGAGGAUUUUGGUGAAACUUGCCGUGUUCAAUGUUUCCUUUCUCCAGAAACUUCAUGAAUUGUUGCGUGUCUUCGUGAAGAGAAGCGAUUGGAACAUGUGGCGGGCAUGGAGGUAGGCAUUAGGAUUGUCAGCCGAUACAAAAAAUUAGGCCGGAGUCUCAGGUUCAGCAUGUAAUGGUCCAUUUGGCCUUUUCCAUAAUGGAAAUUAAGUUAACAAAAAAACAACUUUUAUCAUAAUAAUAGCUCCAAUUAUCAAAAUGCCUAAAAUAAAUUUAACAAAUAAAAAAAUAAAAAAAAAGAUAAAAGAUAUUUAUACCCAUAACAUUAAUUAAUCGACGACUUAUAAUUUAGAUUUCAGUGGGGUUCAGGGGGAGGUGGGGAUAGGAUAGACUUGCGCAAAUAAACCGAAGCUGGAAAUCCGAACUGAACCCAACCCCAUAAAAAUGAAUCCGAACCAAUUCAAAUCUAACGUAAAUAUCUUAUGGAUUUUGUUGUACGGUAUUUUGGGUUAUGAGUUUUACCCGAAACGAAUCCGAACCCAAAUGGAUAUCCAAAAAAAUCAAAAUCCUUACAAUGAACUCGUACCAAACCCGAUAUCAUUCUCGAAUAUGUAUCCAAAAUAUAUUAAGAUAUAAUUGAAUACCUACAAUAAUUAUCUAUUACAUGGAUAAUUAACUCAAAUAUUUAGUUUAAUAUAUAUUUGGUAUUUGGUCAAUAUUGAUGUUCUUACAACUGCAUUUGAACUUUACUUCUGAACAAGUUUACUUGUGAAGUUUAAACAAUGUUGUUUUAUUUUAAAGUUUAGAUAAUGUUUUCCACGUUUAUAGAAUUAGUAGUUGUUAAUUUUAAUUUGUUUACAUUUCAUUAUGUAUAAUUCUCGUUUGCACAAAGCAUGUCUGAUGUUGUCACAUAUGGUUGAUAGACAAGUCUCAUAUGGUUGAUAGACGAGUCUCCAUAAGUUGUUUUGUUUUGAAAGACAACAAUAUGGCUUCAAGAAACCACAUACACAAAUUUAUUAAUAGAUUGAAAAUAUAUUGAAUUCAAUUAAGUACAAAUUAAUACUUUUGAAUGUUUCAAGGCAAGUCUUUCUCGGAACCGAAUAUUGAAAUAAAGUGUAAAAAAAAAAUAUUUUUAAAAAAAAAAAGUUUCGGAUAUUGAAUAAAGUUUCUUAUAAAUAUUUUUAUUUUAAUAUUUAUUUAAAUAUUUGUUUAUAUUUAUAUAUCUCUAGAAUAAGUGCAUAAUCCCCCUAUAUAUUAAAAGAGAAGUCACUUACUUCUCAAUAGAUGGCAAUCAUACAGACCUUCUCAGAAAAUUUCUCUUAAUCUUAUUGGUUGAUUUUUGAUAAUUUUUUUUAAAAAAAAAUCAGCGGGAAAGAGCUAACCUAGAACUACUUAAUUUAGGUUUCCAAACACUUUAAAAAAUAAAGACAAAACACUAAGAGUGUGACUGGUGAUCAAGGAAAUGAGGAGGAACACUAUGUUCCUUAACAUUCUUUAAAUUUUUUACCAUUCAUGAGGAAUAUGUUUUCCUUUUCAUUCCUCUUCAUUCCUUUAUUUGUAGAGAAUUAUAGAACAAAUCAAUUCCUUAUUAAUUUUGAUAAGGAACCAUCAUUACUCGUCAUUCCUAAAAUUUUAUUUCUACUCAUUCCUUUCCUAUCCGUUCCUAUUGUUUCCACACGAUGGUUACCAGUCACACCCAAGCCUUUCUCUUUUGUCGAUUAGAAGAACCAAAAGUUGAAAUUUUUUCAAGGUUUCCCUUUGAUCAUUUUAAUUGGAUUUGGGGAUUAAAUUGAUAUGGUGAAUCGAAGGCCGAGCAGAACCAGAGGAGAACUGCUUCCUUGUCUCGGGAACACUUGCAAAAUUUGAUGCUUGAUUUUGGCUGAAAUGCUCUCUUUAUGUUUGCUUGGGGUGGGAAUCAAUUUGACCUCAGAUGUUAUUUUGAUAUGUUGCAGAUCGAGCCACUAAUGAGUUUAUAAGGAGCAAAAUAUAUGUUAUUUUGAUCCCUAAAAUCCAGCGUCCUAAACUUCCACACUACUCUCUGCUUUUUUUUGUUUGAAGAAAAUCUCUCUCUAGAGAGGAACUCGGAUGUUGCAGUCAGAUAGUGUCUUCAGCCAAAACCUGACAGUACUCUAUAAAUGCAGUGAAGUAGUGUUACUCCGGAGUAGCCAAGAGAUAUUGUGUGUGUUACUCGUGGAUGUUUCUACUUCUUCAGAAGACAGAAAUUUAAGGUUACUGUGUUCGCAUGCUAUCAAUGAUAUACAAGAUGCCUCAGUUGGUCUAGGACUUCAAGUUAUAAGGUUAGUCUUUAAUGGUUCUGCUUUUAAACUUGAUUCUGUCCCCAUGUUCCUAAUCUCUCUCUUACUUUCUGGUGGAGGCUACAAUUUAAGGAGGGCACAGAGUACAAUUUCAUAAGAGGGAGCAUCGAGAAAACAACAGUUUUACUCAAAAUCAUUAAAAUCUUGGAUUCUCAAGCUACGGAACCUAUAUGUUCUUUGGGAAGGGAAAAUAUACAAAUGGAAAUGUUUGAGAAAGAAAUACGUGGUGGUCUGUAGCUGAAUAUAUUCCUGUAUAGUGUUAUCCAGUUUCAGAGCAGCACUCUUGGAGGUAUAUUCUUUCUUUCGCAAAAGAUUGAUUGAGAAAUGGUUCAUAUCAAAUAUGUAGUUGUUUGAAGCUGGGGAUAUACCAGUGACUUUUCCUAGAUAGUUGUUAGACCAAUUUGAAGCGUUCAGUUUUCUUGGGCCAAUGUAUCUGUAGGAUUUAGUAUAAAAUAUAGAUUUCAUAGCCUAUUUAGAAAAGCCCAAACCUAUUAUCGAUUUUGAAAAGAAGAACAUAUUUUUGUAAUAAAUCAUUUAUUUAUUUAAAAUUACAAGGGAUUUUUGUAUUACUUCCGCAAGUUGCAAAGUAACUUAUGAAUAGUUUAAAUGUAAGUUACCUUAUUUAGAGAAAACAUUUCUUGCCCAAGUUAUUAUCACAUUUAUUGAAAUUUUAAAUGCCAAUUUACCUUAAUGUUUCUAAAUUCUUAAU